UGAGCCGGGAUCACACCAUUGCACUCCAGCCUGGGCAACAAGAGCAAAACUCUUGUCUCAAAAAAAAAAAUGUGGAUUCUGUGGUCCUGACCAGGUCUCUGGAAUCAGAAUAUGAAAUGCAACUAGGAAUCCGCCUUCUUAACAAGUUCCCUAGGUAAUUCUUUAUUCAAAACUUUUUUGAUGUUGUUUAUAUUUUGAAAUCUGUCACACAUACAGAAGAGUUUAUAAACCAUAUAUACAUAGUUUCUAACAUAAAAAUUAAACAAACACCUGUGUACCCACUACCCAGGUUAACAUAUUGAAGAUUGGGAGCUCUGGUGUGCCCAGUUGUUUGGUACACCUUCUCCCCCAUCACAGGGAACUACUAUCCUAACUUUCGUGGCUUUCAUUUCCUUAGUCAACCUGUUAGGAAUCGACUCCAUGUAACAUACGAAAAGCAGCUUGCAGAAACACUGGAUUCACACAUGGAGGAGAAAUGCCAACUCACAGGCAAGCACAGUGAUGACAAAAAAAAAAAAAAAAACACUGCAGAGAUUGAGGGAUCCUUAGAGGAUGUCGGUGUAUGAAAAAGUAUUUAAACAUCCCCAGUUUUGUAGAUGCUUAUAAGGUGAACAGCACCAACGCAAUGCUGAUGCAGAAAUUCACAUCCCAGCGGGGCACAGCUGCUCACACCUGUAAUUUCAACACUUUGGGAGGCCGAGGUGGACAGAUCACCUGAGUCAGGAGUUCAAGACCAGCCUGGCCAGCAGUGAAACCCAUCUCUACUAACAAUACAAAAAUUAGCCAGGCAUGGUGGCGGGCGCCUGUAAUCCCAGCUACUCAGCAGGCUGGAGCAGGAGAAUUGCUUGAACCUGGGAGGUGGAGAUUGCAGUGAGCUGAGAUCGCACCAUUACACUCCAGCCUGGGCAACAAGAGCAAGACUCCAUUGCAAAAAAAUAAAAUAAAAUAAAAAUCACAUCCCUGGUUCAAGAACUCAAAGAAGAGAGGUUUAAAGAAGAAAAGAAAAAAGAAGAGAGAUCCAGACUCUCUAAGCAACAAGAAGGGCUGGCAGAGACGUUAUCUAUGCUGGAGUCCCUGGAAGAGGCCAUGGGAGUCACCCCAUCACAAGGAGCUUUUCCACACCAGCCAGGCAGCCAAGAGCCAAGCCCUGCUGCUCCCUUCCCCAGGAGGGCUUGGGUCUUAGGGCAGCGCUGUUCUCUCCCCUCCACUCAGGCCUCCAGAGCUGCCAGGCCAGGUUCUCCCAUGUUGACUCCAUCCGAGGGUCCCUGAGGCCAGUGGAUCUAGGGGAGCCCCUUUUUGUGUUGAAGUUUCCACCUUCCCCUUCUGACACUGCAGCCAGCUCCUUCAUGGUUGAUUCCUCCAAAUCUAAAGAAUACAGGAGACCCUGGAGCACAUCAGCAAAGUCUGGAUUCUCUCUCAUUAGCAGCAAAAGAAAUGCCAUACUUUAGAGCCUCAUCUUUUGCUCAAACUGAAACAUCAUCAAACUGCAUUUCUCAAGACAAUGCUCUGUAAAUAUUAUUUAUGUAUUAAUCUCCUAGGUGAACAAUUUCUAUUUUAUCCUCUACAAAAUUAUUGCACUUUGAAAACAGAUUUCAUUUAUCAAUACUUUCGGUACUCAACUGCAAUAUUUUUUCUAGAGUUAUAGUCCCAACAAUUUUAAGUCAUAAGUUAAAGCACCAUUUUUUGGCUUGAGUAUGUAUUUGUUGAAAAAUUUGGCCGGGCGUGGUGGCUCACACCUGUAAUCCCAGCACUUUGGGAGGCUGAGCCACAGCGCCCGGCCUAAACACAUAGUUUUUAACUGCUCAAAGCUGCAUCCAUAGGAUGACCCCAGACCCCCUAAAGUAUCUUCCUGGGAAAGCUGCCAAAAGAACUCACUGUUGGCUAUUGCCAACACCUUACAAGCAGCCCCUGAUGUCCCUUUCUUAAAGAGUUAACAACAACAACAAAAAACUAAACAAUUGUGAAUCCUUCCUCUGUCUCUCUGGGAUGUAAUGUCUCCUACACAUCAGGAGUAUCCUUCUCAAGAACCUGAAAGCCAUUCCUCCAACAUGCAAUCACCAGGAAGCAAAGGGCCUAUCUCCCAGUUACUGUGGGAGGAUAGGACCCUGACUCCCAUAACAGCCAUCUAACAGGCACUGUCGCCUAACCUUACUUACACUGACCCACCCUUCACAAGUUUCACUUUCCUGACUACUGAGUUCCUGCUCAUCCCCUUCACAUUCCCUCCUCCUCCCUCUUAAACACCUAGUCACUUCUGCACAAAGUUCAGUUCCGUUCACGAGGUACCUUCUUCCCUAUUACAAUAGUAUAUUAUUAAAAUCUGCUUUACCACUUUUACUAGUGUCUAGCUUUAUCUUCUAC
rnacentral:lncRNA from 10 species